rnacentral:rRNA from 1 species
UACGUAGGGGGCAAGCGUUGUCCGGAUUUAUUGGGCGUAAAGGGUGCGUAGGCGGCGGGGCAAGUCUGAUGUGAAAUCCCGGGGGCUCAACCCCGGAAUUGCACCUCAAACUACAUGGCUAGAGUACUGGAGAGGGAGACGGAAUUCACGGUGUAGCAGUGAAAUGCGUAGAUAUCGUGAGGAACACCAGAGGCGAAGGCGGUC